GAGUUUGAUCGUGGCUCAGGAUGAACGCCGGCGGUGUGCCUAAUACAUGCAAGUCGUACGCACUGGCCCAACUGAUUGAUGGUGCUUGCACCUGAUUGACGAUGGAUCACCAGUGAGUGGCGGACGGGUGAGUAACACGUAGGUAACCUGCCCCGGAGCGGGGAUAACAUUUGGAAACAGAUGCUAAUACCGCAUAACAACAAAGGCCACAUGGCUUUUGUUUGAAAGAUGGCUUUGGCCAUCACUCUGGGAUGGACCUGCGGUGCAUUAGCUAGUUGGUAAGGUAACGGCUUACCAAGGCGAUAAUGCAUAGCCGAGUUGAGAGACUGAUCGGCCACAAUGGAACUGAGACACGGUCCAUACUCCUACGGGAGGCAGCAGUAGGGAAUCUUCCACAAUGGGCGCAAGCCUGAUGGAGCAACACCGCGUGAGUGAAGAGGGUUUCGCUCGUAAGCUCUGUUGUGGAGAAGAACGUGCGUGAGAGUAACUG
rnacentral:rRNA from 1 species